rnacentral:rRNA from 1 species
CAGUAGCCACGGUAAUACGAAGGGUGCGAGCGUUACUCGGAAUUACUGGGCGUAAAGCGUGUGUAGGUGGUUGUUUAAGUCUGUCGCGAAAGCCCUGGGCUCAACCUGGGAAUUGCGAUGGAUACUGGGCGACUAGAGUGCGGUAGAGGAUAGUGGAAUUUCCGGUGUAGCAGUGAAGUGCGUAGAGAUCGGAAGGAACAUCUGUGGCGAAGGCGACUAUCUGGGCCAACACUGACACUGAGACACGAAAGCGUGGGGAGCAAACAGGAUUAGAUACCCGAGUAGUCCCUGUCUCUUAUAC